rnacentral:lncRNA from 1 species
CACUAUCUUUCCAUAUCUGUGCCUACUCAAUUGAGAGCAGACUUAGGAGUGUACUUCUAAACAUGUGACACCAGGAAGUUGGCAAACAAAAAAACUUGUGACUUAACUUUGAGAUGUUUGAUCUCAUAUGAUUAAGUUUAAUUGGGUCUAAAAAAAGAAGAUCGAGAAGCUCCUAUGAUUUACAAAUCAAAUCGGUGCAUCCAUGUCUAGUUAAGGUUAUAAGAGGGAAGAUGAAUGGGAUUGUA